rnacentral:rRNA from 1 species
AUGACUGAUGUUGAGCGUGAGGCUAUUGUUAGUGGUGGAGAUGAUGCUCGUGGUGUUCCAUUGAGUAGUGGGCGCGAUGUUGAUACCAAAGUUGCUGAUGAGGAUGUUGGUGCUGCCAGCAUACUUGAUGCCAAAUCGUCUGGUGUUGGUAUUGCUGGGAAUGAAAAUGUUUCUGAUUGUGAAGAUUUGUCGCCGGAGAAUUUCCCGCCUGGAGGUCUUGAUUACGGUGAUGCAUUGCAAGAUGCCUCUAGCGUGGAAGAGGUGCCAUCCAAGGAUGAUGAUUUACUUCUGUCGAUUUCUUCUGGCCCCUUGACGCAGGAGGCGCUCGUGUCGUCCCAGGAUUUUCUUUCUACAGACCCUGAAAGCGCAGCGAUAUUGGUGUCCUCUCAAGAUCUCCCAUCGUCAAACCCUGAAACUGGAGGCAUAUUGGUCUCAUCACAGGAACUACCGUCGUCGUUAAACGCUAAUAGUGCAGAAAGUGGUAAUGUUGUUAAUGUUGAUAUGUUUUUCUUCGCUGUUACGAGGUUGCGCACGAACCGUACGAAAUGUCACAAGCCGAUGUUUCAAAAUAAAGAAUGUGAUUCCAGUGUUGGUUCUAUUGCUAAAGUGUUUGUCCCCACUGGCAUGCUCAACUCAGACAGUGCUGACGUUGUUUUAUAUUCUCUACGUCAGAAGUACCGAGACACUGACAAGUUGAUAGUUCCCAGAUGGACCAAGAUCCGUGAUGGAAAUAUUGAUUCCAAUGUGCUAAAUUGGUUCACGAGAUCAGGGGCUGAUGGUUUUGACCAAUGGAGUGAUGCAGUUAGAUUCUUAAGGACUAUGACAGAUAACAUAAAGAAGCUUUGGAGGGAGUCGAGCGUACACAGGGCCAAACCGUUCUCGCCAGUGCAUAUUGAUGGUUUCUCUUGCGAGUUUGUGCGGGUGCCGCAGCAAAAAAACACGCAUGAUUGUGCAUUCUUUAUGCUACAAAGCUGCAAGACCUAUCAUUGCCGGGAGGAUGGUGUGAUUGAAAUUGAGUGGCGGGAUCUUGAUGAGCAUGACUACAGGAUCUUUGGCAGCCAGUUCUCGGAGCUCGAGCGCGUGUCUAUUGAUCUUAGCCAGGGGCGUUCUCUAGAAAAGACAAGAUCUGGUGUUAUUAAGGGGCGGUUGGGAGCUUUGAAAGGUUCUACGGCUGCUUGUGCAGAGAGCCCCUCUACACCCAAGAAUCCCAUUGUGGAAUUGAUAGACAGCGAUGAUGAUGCGUUUGACAAGAUUGCUAGCAUGGGAAGAGUCACCAGGAGCGCUACUGCUGCCAAGGGUUUAUCCCCACUUGCUAGAAUAGUGGCCCGUAGAGCUGGUGGUGCUAGGAAGGAUCCUGCUUUGGAUUCUGGCAAUGUUACAAGCACGAAGCGUGCACCCAGAGCUCCUAUAAAGUUUUGCUCCCCUGUGCAGCAGCUUCACCCUAAUAAUUUCCCUCACCUGGACAAGGCUCGCAAGUUGUAUAAUCUGUUGCUUAGCGAUGAAGCAUGUGAGAAGUAUGCCGAGAAUACAUUCUCAAUGAUACCUCAGCCCGAUGGUAGCGUAACCAACUUCACUGGGAAACGCAUCUGGGAAGUUUUUGCACCUGGGAAAAUGAUGGAGGGCGAUGUUGUGCUUGACUGUACAUUUUACGGUGGUGAAGAUAAAAAGUUUAAUGUGGAGAGUGCAGCGAGAGAUUUCAGGAGCUAUGUUAAAAAAGAGGAAGACUUGCUCACUGCUGACCUUAUCAUGAUGCCUCUAUUCAAGCCUAUGGUUUUACCAAAGGAUAAGAAAGUGAACCACUUUUCCUUAUAUGACAUGAAUCGGUACCGAAGUAGCGUCGACAUCCUUGACUCUUUACCUUAUCCGAAGAACCACCGUCCUUCAAAGAACACCUAUCAUAAAGACUACGAGAAGAUUAUCUCCAGGAUGGUCCAAGUAAUGAAGGCUGUGUAUAGUGAUACUCAGUACAAUGCGAGCACGCAACCCAAAUGGGAGCUUUUUGCAAAGAAACCAACGUUUGUGAAGGUUCCACUUCAAGGGGCGAAUGAAUGUGGCCAUUAUACUGUGAAGUAUGUGGGAUCCUAUGAUGGUGAAAAGAUCGUUGGGAACAUUCAAGAUAAUGAUCCUCGUAUUGUUGAUUGGAAUGUUGAGGAUCUGUAUAGAGUUGUGUUCAACCGGAAUAACCAGCUUCUGGUGACUGAGCUUCCCAAGGAGUUUCAGGCUUUGGCUCCUGGUGCAUAG